rnacentral:rRNA from 1 species
UAAGCCUGUGAAGGUGUGUCGUGAGGCAUGCUGGAGGUAUCAGAAGUGCGAAUGCUGACAUAAGUAACGAUAAAGCGGGUGAAAAGCCCGCUCGCCGGAAGACCAAGGGUUCCUGUCCAACGUUAAUCGGGGCAGGGUGAGUCGACCCCUAAGGCGAGGCCGAAAGGCGUAGUCGAUGGGAAACGGGUUAAUAUUCCCGUACUUGGUGUUACUGCGAAGGGGGGACGGAGAAGGCUAUGUUGGCCGGGCGACGGUUGUCCCGGUUUAAGCGUGUAGGUGUGUGUUCCAGGUAAAUCCGGUUCACUUUAACACUGAGGCGUGACGACGAGGCACUACGGUGCUGAAGCAACAAAUGCCCUGCUUCCAGGAAAAGCCUCUAAGCAUCAGGUAACAUCAAAUCGUACCCCAAACCGACACAGGUGGUCAGGUAGAGAAUACCAAGGCGCUUGAGAGAACUCGGGUGAAGGAACUAGGCAAAAUGGUGCCGUAACUUCGGGAGAAGGCACGCUGACACGUAGGUGAAGUGAUUUACUCAUGGAGCUGAAGUCAGUCGAAGAUACCAGCUGGCUGCAACUGUUUAUUAAAAACACAGCACUGUGCAAACACGAAAGUGGACGUAUACGGUGUGACGCCUGCCCGGUGCCGGAAGGUUAAUUGAUGGGGUCAGCGCAAGCGAAGCUCCUGAUCGAAGCCCCGGUAAACGGCGGCCGUAACUAUAACGGUCCUAAGGUAGCGAAAUUCCUUGUCGGGUAAGUUCCGACCUGCACGAAUGGCGUAAUGAUGGCCAGGCUGUCUCCACCCGAGACUCAGUGAAAUUGAACUCGCUGUGAAGAUGCAGUGUACCCGCGGCAAGACGGAAAGACCCCGUGAACCUUUACUAUAGCUUGACACUGAACAUUGAGCCUUGAUGUGUAGGAUAGGUGGGAGGCUUUGAAGUGUGGACGCCAGUCUGCAUGGAGCCGACCUUGAAAUACCACCCUUUAAUGUUUGAUGUUCUAACGUGGACCCGUGAUCCGGGUUGCGGACAGUGUCUGGUGGGUAGUUUGACUGGGGCGGUCUCCUCCUAAAGAGUAACGGAGGAGCACGAAGGUUGGCUAAUCCUGGUCGGACAUCAGGAGGUUAGUGCAAUGGCAUAAGCCAGCUUGACUGCGAGCGUGACGGCGCGAGCAGGUGCGAAAGCAGGUCAUAGUGAUCCGGUGGUUCUGAAUGGAAGGGCCAUCGCUCAACGGAUAAAAGGUACUCCGGGGAUAACAGGCUGAUACCGCCCAAGAGUUCAUAUCGACGGCGGUGUUUGGCACCUCGAUGUCGGCUCAUCACAUCCUGGGGCUGAAGUAGGUCCCAAGGGUAUGGCUGUUCGCCAUUUAAAGUGGUACGCGAGCUGGGUUUAGAACGUCGUGAGACAGUUCGGUCCCUAUCUGCCGUGGGCGCUGGAGAACUGAGGGGGGCUGCUCCUAGUACGAGAGGACCGGAGUGGACGCAUCACUGGUGUUCGGGUUGUCAUGCCAAUGGCACUGCCCGGUAGCUAAAUGCGGAAGAGAUAAGUGCUGAAAGCAUCUAAGCACGAAACUUGCCCCGAGAUGAGUUCUCCCUGAGACUUAAAGUCUCCUGAAGGAACGUUGAAGACGACGACGUUGAUAGGCCGGGUGUGUAAGCGCAGCGAUGCGUUGAGCUAACCGGUACUAAUGAACCGUGAGGCUUAACCUUACAAC